UCUCCAGAGGGGAGGGAUGGAGGGACACCCGGAGCGCAUGAGAGGCGGCAGAAGCAGAGAGCAGAGACACGCGGCGGCUGUCGGGAGCCCCUGCCUGAAACUGUUACCCAGCAAAGAGCAUCAAUUGGUAUAGACAUUCAAGAAGGACUGUGAAGCCUCAGGGCACCUCAGGCUGUCAGCUUCGAUGCAAAUCUGACAACUGGCUUCUCUUAAGUUUGGGACCUCCCACCAUUUCCGUGCUGCAAGGUUGGGCCACACUCAUUACUGAUGAGCCAGUGGAAGAAAAAAAAAAAGAAAAAAGCAUUCCCUGGUCGGAUUCCAGAUGGGUCAAUGAAAUGCUUCAGGAAACACAAGCAUUUCCCAACAUAGUUAUUUCCUUGGGAAUAUUCCAAAUAGAUGAAGUCAAAGUGAUAACUCACUUGUAUGUCUAUGAACACUGCCCUGCUAACUUUGCCUCUAGCGAUUUCCUCUUUGUUUAAAUCACAGUAAGCAUAGCCUGUGUGGUGUGGUGUACUUAUAGCACAUGGAGACAUCUAGCGCCUAAAUAACAGACUGCAAAUCAGCUUCAUUUAUCUGAAAUCUUGGAGAUGACAGUCAGACCCAUUGCUUGCAAUGUUUCACCCCAGGGCUGCAGGGUGCUGAGCAGUUUUAGUGCAAACCAUCGCACCACUGGAUAGCAGCUGUCCUUGGGCAGGGAGCGCGGUGGAAGGAGCAGCUGCACUAGCUCAGGAGGAGACUGACUGCAGCUCUGCUGCACAGUUUGAGCUUCAGGCCUAGGCGUUACAGCAGUAAUUGACUCAAGACAGAGAUUUGCCUGUAUAGGCACAAAACAGGUUGAGACAGUUCCUAACUUGCCUUUGUCACUAAACCACAGAGAGUAAAGCUUGUAGGUGUAUGAAUAAGACAAUUUCAUCGUGGCUUUUGCAGUGUGUCUCUACUUCUAUUCUUCCUUUGUUAGGCCAGGAGCACAAUUAUUCUAACACGUGUAAUUGUAAAACUUCACCUCUUUUCAACAAACAUGCUAACUGAAUACUUACAUUUGCCUAUUUCUUUGGCUGAAAUUAAACUGAAUGUAAGCACUGCUUAUCUACUAGAAAGAUAUUAGUCUGGGAACAGAAAUUAUUUACUUUUCUUAUAUACUUAUCUAAAGAAAGAAGAAAUACAGACUGUAAUCAACAUUCUCAGCCAGAAGCCUGAAAAAAGGUUUAGUUAUACCCAAGUACAGAUGUUUUUGCCAGUACUACUAUAUAGGGGCAUAAAGUAAAACAUUUCUACAUA